rnacentral:misc_RNA from 1 species
GCAAACUUGGUCAUUUAGAGGAAGUAAAAGUCGUAACAAGGUUUCCGUAGGUGAACCUGCGGAAGGAUCAUUCACAAUGCAAGUGUUCAAUGGCACUUUCAAAAUCCAUUACCCACCUUGUGUGCACUGUAAGGAAGGAAGGGGGAGACAAGAGCCUCGCUCUUGCGCUUCCCCCCACUUUCAUAUACAUACCAACUUGUCUUUUAUCGUCUACUUUUUCGAGUAAUAAAAAACUCUAAUACAACUUUCAACAACGGAUCUCUUGGCUCUCGCAUCGAUGAAGAACGCAGC